rnacentral:rRNA from 1 species
CCGGGAUGGACAUACCUCUGGUGUACCAGUUGUCGUGCCAACGGCAUAGCUGGGUAGCUAUGUGUGGACGGGAUAAGUGCUGAAAGCAUCUAAGCAUGAAGCCCCCCUCAAGAUGAGAUUUCCCAACUUCGGUUAUAAGAUCCCUCAAAGAUGAUGAGGUUAAUAGGUUCGAGGUGGAAGCAUGGUGACAUGUGGAGCUGACGAAUACUAAUCGAUCGAAGACUUAAUCAA